ensembl:lncRNA
CAACAAUCCUUGCCUUUGGAAGUUUCCAAAAGAGUAAUUGAUAUGGAGGAUAAAUUCAGCGAAUCUGGAAAAGCUUUAAGAUGAGUCUACAAGUGUUGUCUAAUUUCCACGAGAAUUUGGCGUCUCCUGGCUCAGCUGUACGAGUCUUUCAGCUUUUCUGGACAACAAGCAAACCAGAGGACACCCGUGGAAAAAUUUCACCCUGAAAGUUCGUGUUGACAUGCAGGCGGUUUGCCCUUUAUUGUGCAAAGUGAAAGACCGAUGCAGCCUUACCACUGACGUAGGAAUCAUCAAGAAACAGCCUUAAGGUGAACAGCCAAAUAGCGGUGAGGUCACAAAGCCAACUGAACAGCAAACCCCUAAAACCCAGAAAAAAACAGUUGCCUCACCCAGCUCAACCAUUCAAUACUCCCCAGCAGCAUUCCGCAUAGAAGGAUUGGAUCUUACAGCAGAUGAGGAACUAGCAAAGUGGCUUGGUAGAGAGUCAUCCGUGUAUGUCAAGAGGAUCAGAUAUGUGCAUAUAAACAAUCCCAAAAUAGCUCUUUAAAUGUUUUGGGACAGACUCAAUCAGUGCUAAGCUGUUCCUGAAAUUGUUGAAAGUUCACUUUUCAGAAAACCUGAUAAUUAUCCAACAAAGAUAAUCUCAGAUUAAGAGAACUCGGAGAACUUCUCAUGAAAUUACAGUCUGCAAAAGAGGAGAAAUACUUACCAGGGUUAGCUUACCUUGAUACUGUCCGGGGCAUCAACCCUAUGGUAGACAAACUGCCACAUAGUCUGCAGGAGAAGUGGAUGUCCAUUGGAACAAGAUACAAAGACGAACACAAUGUUCACUUUCCUCCGUUUUCCCUCUUCACACAAUUUGUAUGCUGUGAAGCCAGGACAUGAAAUGACCCCAGCUUUAUGCUGUCUAACACCAUGGCUCUCAGCUAUGAAAAGCCCUCAUUUAAAAAGACAGCAUUGAAAAGUGUCAUAACUGCUCACAAGACAGAUGUGACUGCUUCACUUGAACCGCAAACUGAGGGAAAGGUAAAGACAAAUGACCUAUAAUAUAAAACUGUCCUGUCUAUAAUAAGCCACAUCCUCUUGCAAAGUGCAGAGGGUUCAGAGCAAAACCCAUAGAAGAACGCAAAACCUACCUCAAAGAAAACAAUGAGUGCUUUAGAUGAUGUGCAUCACCGUCUCACUUAGCCAGAGAUUGUAAAAUGCUGCUGAAAUGCAGGGAGUGUGAUAGUGACCGAUAUGCCACAGCCACAGCACCUUGGAGCUCAAAACCAAAUCAGUCAGCUUGCUCCUGUUCAAUACAAUUCUUGACGAUCAGAGUAAUUGCUCCUUAGCUCGGACAGAAUUCUUUGAUUUGUUCAAAGUUCAAAAUAGCCCAUGUCCUUGUUCACUUAGAACGUGUGCAGGUGUUGUGGAGAUGACAGGCAGAAAGGCACAUGGGUUUCAGAUAGAAGAAGUCAGUGGAGGUGUGAACAUUGAUCUUCCUACCACUUAUUGAAUGCAAUGAAAUCCUUGACAACAGGUCAGAGAUACCAACCCCAGAGGUAGCACUUUGUCACCCUCAUUUAAAACCUGUUGCAAAAUUCAUACCAAAACUAGAUUCCAAUGCUCAAAUCCUGCUUUUGUUGGGGAUAGACCUUAUUAGACCGCACAAGGCCAGGCAGCAAAUCAGCGGUCCUCACAAUUAUUCAUUUUCCCAAAGACUUGACUUAGGAUGGGUCCUAAUUGGAGAAGUCUGCUAUGGUAAUGCUCACAAGUCGAAUGUAAACAGCUUCAGUACAAAUGUGCUAAAAAAAAAUGGCAGACCUUCCUUUCUAACUCCUUGUCCAAGUCACAUUUCCCUGAAAGAGAAGGUAAAUUAUGGCGGGGAGACCAAUAAGCCAAAUUCAAUCACAAGCAUAAGAUUGCUAAUGACCUUGGUCAUACAGUGUUUGAGAGGACUAAAGAUGGCAAAAAAGUGUGCUCUCUCCUUUGAAGGCCUUUCUACAGUUUAUGGAGAAAGACUUUAAUAAAGACAAAAACUCCUGGGUUGUGCCUUUGCCCUUCAAAGCACCUCGACCAGUACUUACAAACAAUCGAGAUCAAGCACUCUCGUGGCUUAUCUCUUUAAAGCGCACUCUUGGUAGAAGGUCUUAGAUGAAGGAACACUUUCAAGGUUUUAUGAGAAAGAUGGUUGAGAAUAAACAUGCUGAACUGGCUCCUCCACUUAAAGAAAAUGAGGAAUGCUUUUAACUACCAAUUUUCAGAGUCUACCAACCACAAUAACCAGUUCAGAUGAUGGUAGUCUUUGAUUCCAGGGCACAAUACUGUGGCAUCUCUUUGAACAACAUCCUCCUCACAGGGCCAGACUUGAACAAUACUCUCUUGGGGGCACUGUUGCAUUUCCAAAAAGACUCAAUAGCAAUAACUGCCAACAUUCAGCAAAUGUUCUAUUGCUUUGUGGUGCAAGAUGAUCACAUGAUGUACUUAAGUUUUUAGUUACACAGAGACAAUGACAUGUUAAAAGAGAUCACUGAGUAUCAGAUGCGUGUCUAUGUCUUUGGAAAUAGUCCUUCCCCUGCUAUCACAAUCUACGGUAUAAGAUGUGCUACACUGGAAAGUGAGCAGGAAUAUGGGUCCGACACUCAUCAGUUUGUUGAGCGACAUUUCCAUGUUCAUGAUGGUCUGAUAUCUUUGGCAAAUGAAGCAGAUGCCAUUAAUCUGCGUAAGCGCACCCAGACCGCUCUCACUCAAUCAAACUUAAAACUCCACAAAAUUGCUUCAAAUUCAGUCACAGUGAUGAAAUCCUUUCCUCCAGAUGAUCUAGCCAAAGGCGUAAAAGACCUGGAUCACACCAAAGAAAGUCUUCAGACUCAGAGCAGUCUUGGAUUGUGUUUGAAUAUGGAUUCAUAUACAUUCACUUUUCAAGUGACAAACACUGAGAAGCCUUUCACUUGUUGGGGAGUUUUUUUGUUGUCAACUGUCUUUUUGACCCUCUGGGUUUAGUAGCAUCAGUCCCACUCUCAACUUCUAAAGAAAAGCAUAGCGAGUUAUAUAUCUUCUCAGAUGCAUCCAACAAAGCCAUAGCUGCAGUAGCAUAUCUUCAAGUCAUUACUGAACAUGGACUUAGUCAAGUUGGAUUUGUCUUUUGCACAGCUAAACUAGCCUCUCAGCCAGAACCCACCAUACCACGUCUUGAAUUGUGUGGAGCUGCAUUAGCUGUAGAUAUGGCAGAACUAAUUCUUGAAGAAAUUGACUUCAAGCCAGAUGCAGUUAAAUUCUACUUUGACAGUAAGGUGGUUCUCGGCUACAUAUUCAAUGAGACCAGACAUUUCUUUGUCUAUGUACACAACAGAGCGCAACAAAUCCAUGUACCAGAACAGUGGCACUUCAUACCAACAGAUCAUAACCCAGCUGAUCUUGCCACCAAGUCAGUGUCACCAUCUCAGCUUGCUAACAAACAAUGGUUUACUGGUCCAGCUUUUCUGCACAAGCCCUUCUCAACUUCCCAAGAAAUUCAAAAGAAUUUUGAGUUGAUCAAACCAGAACUGGGUGCAGAAAUUCAGCUAGAUGUCACAAGUCUUGCAACUCUGACAACAGAAAUGCUUCUUACCUGAGAAUGCUUUAAAUGUUUCUCUUCCUGGAAAGCUCUUCUAAGAGCUGUUGCACUUCUUAUCCACAUAGCUUGUUAAUUCAAAUCAAACUCAAUUGCUCUGGCAAACGAAUGCAAAGGUUGGCACUUGUGCAAAAAAGUCUGAACUCCCAAAGAGUUUUUUGCAGCUAAGCACAUCAUCCUAAAAUGUGUAAAGAAGGAAAUAUACAGUAAUGAACUCAAGGCCUUGGUAGGACAGGAAAACAUACCAAAAUGCAGUUUACUUUGGAAAAUGAACCCUCAGAUUCAAAAUGACCUGUUAAGGAUUGGUGGAUGCCUAGAAAAUGCUCCUUUAAAUCCCAAUGGCCCAUGGACUGUCACCACUCGACACAUGAGAGGAGGUUUGGCAAACAGUAAAUGUUGGGCAAUCCUUUUUACGUGUAUGAGUAUUAUUGCAGUGCAUUUUGAAGUGAUACAAGCCAUGGAUACGUCUAGCUAUAUCAAUGCAUUGCAUUGCUUCUUCACUAUUAGGGGACCAGCAAAAUAGCUCAGAUCCGAUUGUGGAACAAAUUUUGUCAGAGCAUGCAGAGAGCUGGGAUUUGCACUGGACAGCAGUGUUCAAAAGUACCUAAGUGAAUAAGGUUGUUCAUGGCAAUUCAACCCCCCUCACACAUCACACAUGGGAGGUACAUGGAAAUGAAUUAUAUGGAUUGCACGCAAAAUCUUUGAUAGUAUGGUGCUACAAAAUAAAACUAUCAAAUCUAUCUUACCCACAAAGUUCUGUGUACAUUCAUGGCUGAAGUGUCAGCUAUAAUUAAUGCCAGACCAUUGUUUCCAGUCUCAUCUGAUCCAGACAGCAGUACUUCUAACCCCUGACAUUUUGCUCACCAAAAAGUCUGGUUCAACUAUCUCUGUUGCCAAUUUCUCAGUGAAAGAUCUCUAUGGAAGCCAGUGGAGAAGAGUGCAAUCUCUUGCAGAUGAGUUCUGGGCUUGCUGGAAGUGGGAGUACCUUCCCAUCCUGCAACGGAGAUGCAAAUGGGCCACAUUGCAUCCCAAUCUUGAAGUUGGGGCUAUUGUCCUCAUGAAAGAUAUUACUCUUUCUCAUAAUGAGUGGCCUAUGGCAGUGGUUACUGCAACAUUUCCAAGUACAAAUGGAAGGCUGAGGAAAAUAGAGGUUAAAACGACCUCUCAAGGUAUAACCAAAAAGUUCUUAAGACCAAUCUCAGAGGUCAUUCUGCUUCUCUCUAAAAAGGACUGAGAUUUAAUUAGUGACAGUGAUGUUUAUUGACAUAAUAACAAUUGAUAAUAAUUGAUUGUAUUCUGUUGUAUUCUGUUUCACAAAAGUAAAGUUGUGUUGGGUUUAAAGGUCAUCUAGUGGAUAUGUAAGGUAACUGCAAGUAGCUUUAUAACAGGAAGCAGAGAGCUGAGCACAUGAACAGUACAUCUAUUACUUAGAUGAUGUGUUUCUCCUGGAUAAUCCUCGACAAUCCUUGCCGUUGGACGUUUUCAGAAGAGUAAUACCCGUAAUGUUCCUUACUUGUCCUAUUGUAAUACUUUUUAUAUGUAAAUGUGAGAUAUAGUUAAAUAUAAGAUGUCACUUAUAUGUACCAUGUUAUCUUAGUUAGCUAAAACAAGCCUUAGAUAUUGGAAGCUAUAUGUAGUCAAGCGACUAAUUGGACAUGUUUGUAUCUUUUUUUUUUUGUUUCAUGCUGAUUCAUUAUAGGGUUGUAUGAUACAAUAAAUACUGGAAUUUGACACACAUUUCCUGACUCUAUUGUGAAUGGAGUUUAACUUGCUGUCAAUCUUCAUAAAAACAUUACACGUGGAGGGAGGAUAGUAUAAUUCUGCUUGUGCCAACAAGAAAAUGGAUAAGAAAAAAGUGAUAACUGAUAUUAUUUGAGCUAUAGAUGACCAAUAUGCUCUUAAAGCCUGUGGUAUAUUUAGUUUUUUAUGCGUCCACUAGUGUAUGUGCACAGUCGUUCGCAUAGCCUCUCAAAGUAUACUCGUACAUAUAUACUGCAGGCAGUCGACACAUGCAUUAUGACAACUUGCACUACCCCUCCUGGCCUACAAGAGUCAGUACAGAGCAGUAAAGCAGGUAUUUUGGUGUGGUGGACGACAAUGAAGAAGAAUCACAAGAAGACGCAGAACAAUGCUUGGGCAAUCUCUCAGCACGAUUAUACACCAUAUAGAAAUCUUUAUACACCUUAAGGCUAGAAUUAUACAAAUGCGUGUACUUUCUAAUCGGCACUCAUUUCCGUCUCUUCCAUUUAUAUAUUUUUUUCUUUGACUACCUUAAGAAUCAAUGGCCCUGGAUCACUGUUGCCACCUUGUGGAACAACUUAAUAGUGCAAAAGAAUUAAAUGCACGUGUGCAACCUACACCUACAAAGUAUGCACGAUUACAAAAAUUGGGCGACACGCAUACAGUAUGCGCUUACUCUGCGGAUCAUGAAAUUUGUGUCACGCAUACUGUAGGCUGUUCCUAGAGUACGCUUAAAAAGUGAAGAAUACUUUCUGCUUUACCAUUGAGCUGCAUAAACAAAGGCUUAAAUUGCAGACAGAGUUUGAUUUGUUAUCUACAGGUGAGGCGGAAAGGAUUUUGUUACACACACGGCAAUUAUUAUGAAUAUGGGAUUAAGGUUUGUCGGUUGUUGGCCCACCAGCUGCAUAAACACUUCGCACUCUAUUACUUGGAUUAUGCAAUCCACCUCGGAUCCUGUAGAAAUUAAUUCAACUUUUUAAAGUUUUUAGUCCUCUUUAUACAUUGCUGGAGCUCCUGACAAUUUGGGUAAAAUUAACCAUUUUCUUAGAAAUAUUGAUUCUCACAAAGUUGACCCUCUUUUGGUAUCUGAACUUGACAGCCCCAUCACCUUAGAAGAGAUCAUUAACUCAAUUAAUUCAUUGCAAUUUAAGAAAUCACCUGGCCCAGAUGGGUUUCCUUCCAAAUUUUCUAAGAAAUUUCAUGUUACAUUGGCCCCAUUACUUCUGGCUGUAUUCGAGGAAUACUAGUUAUGCUGCCACCAACAUUGAGAUAAGCAUCCAUAACUCUAUUACUUGAAGAUGGGAAGGAUUCAUACAGACCUAUUAGUAAUAGGUAAUUCAUACAGACCUAUUAGCCUCUUCAAUAUUGAUAUCAAGAUUUUAGCAAAACUUUGGGCCUCUCAUUUAGAGGGAAUUCUCCAUAGCAUUAUUUCAGAGGAGCAAACUGGAUUUAUAAAAGGACGGCAUUCCUAUUCUAAUAUUCAUAUUCUUUUUAGUAUUUUAUACUCAAAACAAAACAGCAACUCCUCUGAAGUGGAAAUUUCUUUGGAUGCCGAAAAGCCGUUUGAAAGGAUAGAAUGUGAACAUCUUUUUUAUGGUGCUAAAGGAGUUUGGCUUUUCGGAUGGAUUGAUAUCAUGGAUCUGUUUGUUAUAUGUUGAACCACAAGCUUUCAUAUAUACCAAUGAUGUUAAAUCUGACUAUUUUACUUUGUCAUGUGGUAUGCACCAGGGAUGUCCUCUGUCUCCCUUACUUGUUGCCAUAGCAAUUGAUCCUCUCUCAAUAAUGCUUAGAACUCUUCCUGAAUUUCAGGGUAUAAUCUGCAAGAGAAUUGAACAUAAACUAGCCCUAUAUGCUGACGACUUACUAUUUUAUGUUAUACAUUCAUCCAUCCAUCCAUCCGCUUAUAAUUCCUUCAGGGUCAUGGGGAAACCUGGAGCCUAUACCAGGGAGCAUCGGGCACAAGGCAGGGUACACCCUGGACAGGGUAUGUUAUCGAUCCAAUGAAAUCUAUUCUAGAGAUAAUAAGCCUAUUAGAUGAUUUGGGGAAAUUUUACAGGUAUAAACUGAACCUAAAAAAGAGUAAAUGCUUACCCAUAAACCAAUCUGGCCAAAAAAUUAAACAGACUGACAUACCUUUUCACCUGGAGGCUUCAAAAUUCAAAUAUCGGUGUUAAUGUCAUGGUUCCUAUUCUGCAUUAAUGGCAGCAAACUUUACACCCUUAAUUUCAUACAUGAAGUCAGUUUUUCAAAGAUGAGCAGCUCUUCCCGUCUUAUUAUUUCACAGAUAUAUGCAACGAUCUGGUCAAAGGACAAUUCUCACAAUAUCAAAACCAUUAGUGCUUGGGAAGAGGAAUUAAGCCUAGAGUUUGAGGAUGAUUACUGGGGCAGAGUGUUAGAUAAUACAUGUACCACCAGGUCAUGUGCUAGACUUAGUUUCAUCCAAUGUAAAGUGGUCCAUAGAGCUCAUCUUUCUAAGACUAAACUAUCUAAAAUAUAUUCCAAUGUUCCUGACAUAUGUUAAAAAUUAAAACUUUCGCCCUGUAACCUCAGUCAUAUGUUUGCUCUCUAUACCAAACUGCAGAACUUUUGGAACUCUUUCUUCAAAUCUGUCUCCGAUGUUCUUAAAAUCAUAUUAGAUGUCUGUCAUUUAUUUUCCAUCUUUAGUGUUGAAUCUCAGUGUCAACCUAUGAACCAUAAACAAGCUAGUGUUGUGGCUUUUGCAUCAUUGCAUGCCCAGCGCAGAAUAUUGCUGUCUUGGUCCUCUCCACAACCCCCUUCUAUAUCAGUCUGGCUUAAAGGUUUAAUCUUCUUUUUAAAACUUGAAAAAAUCAAGUAUAACAUAAGAGGCAGGGGUGGAUCAUUUUUUGAAAAAUGCGGCAAUUUAUUGCCUACUUCAAUGAUGUAUGUACCCUGGAGAUGGAUUGAGGGAAGGUAUAAAUACUAAUCUUCUUACUUUAGGUUAUUUUUGUUUUUGUUUCUUUUUCGUUGUGUGUAGUUGAGCCUCAGAUAUCAUUUGGUUUUGGCUGUGAUUAUUGUGUUGGGGCUGGGUAUGGUGGGGUUUGUUGGAUGAGGUGUUAUAAUAUGUAAAAUGUGAUUUUCCAAUAAAAAAUCUAUGGAAAAAAAAAGAAGUGCAGGAGUUACAUAAAGUUUGAUAUUUAGGGCCCUAUCACUACUGGUGUGAGGACCAUUGGAUCUGCUCCAUGUACUAGGGCAUGAGCACCGGAGGUGCAAGGCCCUAUUGUAUCUGCUCCAUUAAUUAGGGCCCGAGCAUUGAUGGUGUGAGGCCCUAUUGGAUCUGCUCCGUUUAUUAGGACCCAAGCACCACUGGUGUGAUGCGCUAUUGGAUCUGCUCUGUUUUCUAUUAUUAUUAUUAUUAUUAUUAUUAUUAUUAUUAUUAUUAUUAUUAUUAUCUUAUAUGAAUCGCAUUUUAGAGGGCCUAAACAUACCCAAAAACUUACAAAACUUUGCAGACAUAUCAGAACUGGUGUAAAUUUAAAUGUGAUGGGGUUUCAGAAUUGAGUAUGGAAAAAAUGGCUCAAAAGUGUCACCUACAAAAUUUCAGCGAUGUGUAGCAUGCCAAUACAUACCAAAAAGUCUCUUGAAGCUGUGCCCUAAACUCAAUAGGAAGUCAGCCAUUUUGAUUUUUCUCUUAAAUUUUUGGUGUGUUUUUGCCAUUUCCAGGCCUCAUACUUUAAUGAAUUCGUCCUAGAGAUUUCAUCAGGUUGACAUCAUAUUUGUUCAAUCUCAUAUAAACAGUGUGACAAUGCUAAAUUGUGAAGCUUUUGAGUGUCCGCUGCACGGUGUGGGCGUGGCGGUCUCACAGAUUUUGAUGUUUUGCUAUGAAAAAGGAAGUUUAUAUAACUCAAACAUACAAUGUCCAAUCUGCUCCAAACUUCACAUGUUUGAUAAAGGUCUGGGCCUGAAGAUAUCUACAUACCAAAUGUAACUGGUUGUAGUCUGCGUUAUGUUUUUAUUUAAUCCAGAAAAAAUGUAGGCGGCUGGCAACUGGGUCGACUCUUUGUUUAUUCUCUCCUCUCUCUCUCCCAUUCAACCAUAACACUAAAGGGAAGAGGAGGAGCCAAAACAGGAAAUUACACAAACCCAUGACAUCACGACAAUUAAAAGGAAAAGCACUCACACAAACAGACAGUCAUCCAGGUACACACAUCUUCUUUUGUGUAAUUCUACAUGUUAAAUUUAUGGAGUAUUUUCCAUACCUAUUACAUUCACCCCCCUAGAAUUACACAAAAUUUAGAGAACACUGGAAAAAAAUUUGUACACAGGUCAUAAGUUUAUGGUCCACACACAAAACAAUCAGUGAAGACAGUCAGCAUUGAAAGCUACCCAAUGAAAGGAUAAAAAUGGUUUGAAAUUGGCCAAAUUUCAACAUUCCAUAGACAUUAUUAAGGUGCCCAUUACACCUCAAACACUUAGACCAAGUACUCAAAUAAGGCAAGUUUUCAGUAGAAAAAACAAAGGAACAAGGCAAGAUUUCAGUAGAAAAAACAAAUGAAGUAGAAAAAACAAAUGCAAGUUUCAAAAACCACAUGUACUUAUAGACAAACUGAAUUCAAACAUGAAUAGCUGGAGACCCAGAAUCAAAACUUAACAGGGUUUCAAGUUGAACCAUACAUUCAAUGAGUCUGCAUACUGGUUUGAUGACUCUCCCAAUCCUGCUAGUGAAAUGAUCACCUGUAUUUAAAUCAGCUAUAGGAUCUUGCCUAAAGGGUACACUGGCAGAGAUAUGAUUUUGGGAUGAAUGGCUAGGACCAGCACCAGCCACAGUAUUAUCAUCAGUCACUGGUGCAGCAACUUGUGCAUUUGGCUGCUCUUGAUUGCCCAACUGAGAAUGCACCCUCGAUGAAGUGGGUGCAUCACAAGUGUCAUCAUGAUUUCCCUCUACAACCCUUGUUAGCCACAAGCACUUGGUCACCAACGGCUAGAGGUAGGCCUUUAACUGUUUUGUUGUGCUGGCUGGACUGGUGUCUUUGCUACACAACAGAAUUCUUUUGUGCUAACGUCAUGGCAGACUGGAGGUGGCUGAUUAACGAUUUCACUUACUCGUUAUAGUCACAAACAGACUUAUCCUGCAAAACACUUUGGAACAUGAAGUCAACUGUCAAUCUUGGAACUCUACCGAACAUUAGGUAAAAAGGGGCAAAACCUGUUGUUUCGUGUGCUGUACAGUUGUACACAAAAGUCAUGGUCUGUACAAACUGACGCCACUUCUGCUUAGACCUAGGUGGAAGGGACCUCAAUAUGUUUCCUAAUGUCCUAUUGAAACGUUCGGUACCACCAUUCCCCAUCGGGUGGUAAGGAGUGGUUCUAGACUUGUCGAUGCCAGCCAGUUCAAGAAGCUCAGCAAUCAGCUCACUCUCAAAGGUAGCCCCUGGUCAGAAUGGAUGCGUUGGGGAAAUCCAUAGACACAGAAAAAAAACAUCCCACAGUUUCUUAGCCACUCUUUUCACCAUCUGGUCCUGACCCGGAAACGCAUGCGCUAGCUUUGUGAAGUGAUCCGUGAGCACCAAAACAUCCAAAGAUUUGUUGGUCCGAUCCUCAGCAGACCAGAAGUUGAUGCAUACAAGCUCCUACGGGGCUGUGGUUUUAAUACUCUCCAAAGUGGCUCUCGCUGCAGGUUCCGGAGUUUUGCUGAGGAUACACCUGGGACAUUUCCUCACAUAAUCCCGCACAUCACGCUCCAUAUUGAGCCAGAAAAUGGGUGGGCUAAAUGGGCUAAAGACAAAGUGCGCGGCUGCCCUUGAUGGCCAGGUUAUGACACUCUAGCAAUGACAGGGUCUUUGUGCUGAUGUUCUUGCAAGUCUGUCAGUGAAAGGGAAUGAAACACUUCUUCAUCACCACUGAUUAAAGAGGUCAGAUGUUUAGCAAAUUAUGUUGCUCUACAUUCAGUUCCUGUUUCCCAUUCAUCACAGGAGGACAGAAUGGAAGACACGUUGCCAGCAGACAUUGAUGUAUCCAGCCCAACAUCAAGUGGACCUGAUCCUAAUUUUUGUGGUUGGCAGACGGCAGAGACCCCCACAGCCUGCCACUGCUGUUCAUCUGCUUUUCCCAAGACACAGUAUGGAACUGAAGAACAGGUAACACUAAGUGAAUCCAGGCUGCGGAUGAAUACAAAAUAGCAGGAACUUCAUGUUAUGGAUCUUCUUUGGACAGCAAAGGUUGGAAGCAAACUAGGAAAUCUUAGCACUCCUCAAUAUUAUCAGUCCAGAGGAGGAGGGAUGUGUGAG